rnacentral:rRNA from 1 species
UACGGAAGGCAGCAGUGGGGAAUAUUGCACAAUGGGCGCAAGCCUGAUGCAGCCAUGCCGCGUGUAUGAAAAGGCCUUCGGGUUGUAAAGUACUUUCAGUCGUGAGGAAGGUGUUAAGGUUAAUAACCUUAGCAAUUGACGUUAGCGACAGAAGAAGCACCGGCUAACUCCGUGCCAGCAGCCGCGGUAAUACGGAGGGUGCGAGCGUUAAUCGGAAUUACUGGGCGUAAAGGGCACGCAGGCGGUUAAUUAAGUUGGAUGUGAAAUCCCCGGGCUUAACCUGGGAAUGGCAUUCAAGACUGGUUAGCUAGAGUCUUGUAGAGGGGGUUAGAAUUCCAUGUGUAGCGGUGAAAUGCGUAGAGAUGUGGAGGAAUACCGGUGGCGAAGGCGGCCCCUGGACAAAGACUGACGCUCAUGUGCGAAAGCGUGGGGAGCAAA